UGUUUCGGCCAGGGGGCCAUCCCGGCUUACCAACCCGAUGCAAACUGCGAAUACCGGAGAAUGUUAUCACGGGAGACACACGGCGGGUGCUAACGUCCGUCGUGAAGAGGGAAACAACCCAGACCGCCAGCUAAGGUCCCAAAGUCAUGGUUAAGUGGGAAACGAUGUGGGAAGGCCCAGACAGCCAGGAUGUUGGCUUAGAAGCAGCCAUCAUUUAAAGAAAGCGUAAUAGCUCACUGGUCGAGUCGGCCUGCGCGGAAGAUGUAACGGGGCUAAACCAU
rnacentral:rRNA from 4 species